AUGAAAAUAUUGGUCUUCGACACCCGGAGGAUGGAGUUCUCCAUUGUCGACCUCCCAUCCGAGGCGAAACAUGCAUCCAGUAAUGAUAUAACUAUGAUCGAAGCAGGAGAAGGCAAGCCUGGGAUGCUUAUCCGUGGAUAUGACAUAUUUGGUCGCAUUUAUACUAUUUGGAGAAACAAUGGUGGGAUUUCCAGCCAGUGGUGGAAGGAGAAGGUAAUCUCACCCUCAUUGGGCUGUGAGUACAUAGAGAGCGGUUCAAUGGGGAAGUACUUGGUCCUGAAUCACUUGGGAGACUCAUCACUCGAGCCAGGCUUAUACAUGUUGGACAUCAAAACAUUAGAACUUGAGAGGGUGUGUGCUUCGAUAGUGCAAGGCUUCGCAUAUAGCAACUGCCCACCAUCGUUGUCGUCGCCGACAAUAUCAAGCGGUAUUGAGGAGGAGGUGCUGGAAUAA
rnacentral:rRNA from 1 species